rnacentral:rRNA from 1 species
UACAGAGGUCUCAAGCGUUGUUCGGAUUCAUUGGGCGUAAAGGGUGCGUAGGUGGCGCCGUAAGUCAGGUGUGAAAUUUCGGAGCUUAACUCCGAAACUGCAUUUGAUACUGCGGUGCUUGAGGACUGGAGAGGAGACUGGAAUUUACGGUGUAGCAGUGAAAUGCGUAGAGAUCGUAAGGAAGACCAGUGGCGAAGGCGGGUCUCUGCACAGUUCCUGACACUGAGGCACGAAGGCCAGGGGAGCAAACGGG